CCUACGGGAGGCAGCAGUGAGGAAUAUUGGUCAAUGGACGAGAGUCUGAACCAGCCAAGUAGCGUGAAGGAUGACUGCCCUAUGGGUUGUAAACUUCUUUUAUAUGGGAAUAAAAUGUUCCACGUGUGUGAUUUUGUAUGUACCAUAUGCUUAAGGAUCGGCUAACGCCGGCCCAGCAGCCGCGGUCAUCCGGAUGAUCCGAGCUUUAUCCGGAUUUAUUGGGUUUAAAGGUAGCGUAGGUGGAUUGUUAAGUCAGUUGUGAAGGUUUGCGGCUCAACCGUAAAAUUGCAGUUGAAACUGGCAGUCUUGAGUACAGUAGAGGUGGGCGGAAUUCGUGGUGUAGCGGUGAAAUGCUUAGAUAGCACGAAGAACUCCGAUUGCGAAGGCAGCUCACUGGACUGCAACUGACACUGAGGCUCGAAAGUGUGGGUAUCAAACAGGAUUAGAUACCCGAGUAGUC
rnacentral:rRNA from 1 species